UACGUAGGGUGCAAGCGUUAAUCGGAAUUACUGGGCGUAAAGCGUGCGCAGGCGGUUGUGCAAGACCGAUGUGAAAUCCCCGGGCUUAACCUGGGAAUGGCAUUGGUGACUGCACGGCUAGAGUGUGUCAGAGGGAGGUAGAAUUCCACGUGUAGCAGUGAAAUGCGUAGAGAUGUGGAGGAAUACCGAUGGCGAAGGCAGCCUCCUGGGCCAACACUGACGCUCAUGCACGAAAGCGUGGGGAGCAAACAGG
rnacentral:rRNA from 1 species